rnacentral:rRNA from 1 species
GACGAACGCUGGCGGCGUGCCUAAUACAUGCAAGUAGAACGCACAGUUUAUACCGUAGCUUGCUACACCAUAGACUGUGAGUUGCGAACGGGUGAGUAACGCGUAGGUAACCUGCCUGGUAGCGUGGGAUAACUAUUGGAAACGAUAGCUAAUACCGCAUAAUAUUGAUUAUUGCAUGAUAAUUGAUUGAAAGAUGCUAUUGCAUCACUACCAGAUGGACCUGCGUUGUAUUAGCUAGUAGGUGAGGUAACGGCUCACCUAGGCGACGAUACAUAGCCGACCUGCGAGGAUGAUCGGCCACACUGGGACGGAGACACGGCCCAGACUCCUACGGGAGGCAGCAGUAGGGAAUCUUCGGCAAUGGACGAAAGUCUGACCGAGCAACGCCGCGUGAGUGAAGAAGGUUUUCGGAUCGUAAAGCUCUGUUGUAAGAGAAGAACGGGUGUGAGAGUGGAAAGUUCACACUGUGACGGUAUCUUACCAGAAAGGGACGGCUAACUACGUG